GAUGAAGAACGCAGCGAAAUGCGAUAAGUAGUGUGAAUUGCAGAAUUCAGUGAAUCAUCGAAUCUUUGAACGCACAUUGCGCCAUUUGGUAUUCCUUAGGGCAUGCCUGUUCGAGCGUCAUUUAAACCUUCAAGCUAAGCUUGGUGUUGGGUGACUGUCCGCUUCACGGCGGACUCGCCUCAAAAUUAUUGGCGGCCGGUACAUUGGCUUCGAGCGCAGCAGAAACGCGAACUCGGGCCCGUCGUAUUGGCUCCCAGAAGCUAUCUUCACAAUUUUGACCUCGGAUCAGGUAGGGAUACCCGCUGAACUUAAGCAUAUCAAUAAGCGGAGGA
rnacentral:misc_RNA from 1 species